rnacentral:rRNA from 1 species
UACGGAGGGUGCAAGCGUUAUCCGGAUUUACUGGGUUUAAAGGGUGCGCAGGCGGAUAUGUAAGUCAGUGGUGAAAUCUCUAGGCUUAACCUGGAAAUUGCCUUGAUACUAUAUAUCUUGAAUGUUGUGGAGGUAAGCAGAAUAUGUCAUGUAGCGGUGAAAAUGCUUAGAUAUGACAUAGAAUACCUAUUGCGAAGGCAGCUUACUACGCAGAUAU